UCGACUGCAUGUCGGGAAUUUAAUUUUUUCUGGCAUUUACAAAACACUUCAACCCGUUUUGACAAGAGCCGGCGAUGACAGCAAUUACCAUACGAUUUGCAUGACGUUUAUGUUUAUUUUCGCAUUGUACUCGCCUCCUCCCCGGUUCCAGGGCUUCAGUGGUGAAUGCCUUUCAGCCUCUCCAGGCUUUGUGUUCUUUAUGGCCUAAAAGAAAUGAAAAGCUGCCUGACUCACUCAGUUGGUCGCAAUUUCGUUGGAUUCGCAUUUCAUUAGCUUGUUAUGGACCACCUACGGCCGCUCUGGCCGCUGACAGAGCUCCCCCGUCCCCAUGUCUGCCCUGGGCCAGUUGGCCAAAUGGCAGAGACCCACAGCGAAGCAAUUAAGCCGACUGGCAUCGAAAACAAUCCCAACCAAUGGGGCAAUUUAAGGUAUUUACAAAAGCGUAAAAAGGUAAAGAAAACAUGUCGGGGCUCCUCCCAAUCAAAACAAGACGAGAACCACUCGAGGAGGCCCUCUCUGAAAUGUCAAUCGUUCGGUUUAAAGUUAAGGCCAUUUGCAAAAGGCCAAAAGAAAAUACAAAUAAAUUCGCAAGCUCUUCAAGGCAACACAUAACUAAAAGGGUGGUUUUAUGCGCAGAAAUGAUAUAAAGCAGUCUCUUUAUUCUAAAAUUACAAACUAAUACAGGGGAUGAGUGGUCGACACUAAGUCUCUUCGAAAUGUUCAGAGCAGUCGUAACCUUUUUUUUAUGUUUUUUGAUUACAUUUUAUAUAAGAAUAUAAAAAUGUAGGUUUUAGUUUUAAGUGCCAUUACAAACUAAUAUAAAGGGAUAAUUAUAAAUGGUCGACACUUCUCUGAUCAGAGCAGUCGUAACUUGUGUUUUUGGGUUUACAUUUUUUGUGUUUGGGUUUCAAGUGUGUAGUUUUAAGAGCAAUUAAAAACUAAUAUAAUGGUGUAGUGGUCGACACUUCUCAAGCAAAUGUUCAGAGCAGUCGCAACUCGUAACUUAUUUCUAGAAUUGUGUUUUUUUUAUAACAAGGGAAUCGACCGAUUCCAGAGUUAGAAAAUCAAUUACGAACUAAUGUGAAAGGAUAGAGAUAUUUGGACUGCUCAUCGAGUAUUUUAGAGCAGUCUCUUGGUUUGAAGUUUAAGCGUUAGACCCUCCUAGUGGAUUAAGAUUUCCACUGAUAUAGCUAAAAACUAACUAAAACUAGCU